rnacentral:piRNA from 1 species
UAAGGAGUGAAAAUGAGUUUCUUUAUGGC